GCCUAGGUGGUUAAGUAGUAAAGACGUUAGCCUAUAAACUAUAUAUAACUAUCGUUGCCCGUAACGAUAGUUAUAUAAAGAGAACCAAAGUCCCGAGUUCAAUUCCCGGCCUAGGUA